ensembl:lncRNA
GUUAGCCUAUAUUGUAUUUUUUAGGUUAGCCUAUAUUGUAUUUUUUAGGUUAGCCUAUAUUGUAUUUUUUAGGUUAGCCUAUAUUGUAUUUUUUGGUCGUUUACGCACUAAUAGUUGGUCAUGUAAAUAGCCUUAAUCGCACCAUUAAUCGCACCGGAAACAAAAUGCGGAUGUGUGUGUGUCAGCCAAGUGUUCUCGUGUGCCUAAACGUCAUCUGUGACUCUUCCUCCCAGUUAUUUUCUAUUUCACUCCUAGUCUCACCCCUCUCGCGGUCCGUUCUCCAGACGCAGCAGCUCGGCUAGUAUACGCCUAUUCCCGGCCAACCCCCCUGUCCCCCAGAGAGAAGAGAGAGAAUACAUGGGACACAACGAAAGAUAAAUUAUCCUAGUUUGUAGUUUAGAUUUAUCCAGGACAAUCAGAGCGGAUAUCCAUCGACACAGAAAGAAACCCCGCC